CAUUCAGGGCUGGACUGGACCUGUGCUGUUUUUUGCUGCGGUGAUAUCUCCGAGUCGUGAUUAUCACCGGGCGAACAUCGGCACAGGUCCGGUCCUCCCUC
rfam:Caenorhabditis brenneri strain PB2801 C_brenneri-6.0.1_Cont34.27, whole genome shotgun sequence.